AUCGACUUCCUAUGGUUGGGCAAUGGCUUCCGCCUUCCGGACCAGGUGACGUCAGUGGUCUGGAUUUCUGCCAGUGUUCUCCUGCCCAGGAAACGGACUUCCGGCCAGGGCUCCCAGCUGUCUCUGUCUUCCUGGAGCAGCAGACCUCUCAAGUUGCAGUGAGAGACUGAAAAUCAGAUCUCGGGGAAAGUUUCACCAUGGAGAAGGAGAGGGAGCAGCGGAAGACACUAUGGAGAGAAAGCUGGGCACAAGGGCAAAGUAGCUGUGGGAGGACGACUGUCUGGUGGUCAUAAGUCUGAAGCUUGGCCCCUUGUCUGAAAAGAAGGUCUCUGCCUACUGGACGAUCUGCUGAGAACACAAAGCUGCUUCUUGAAGCUGGGUGGUUGGCUUUCCUCACCCGACCAGACCCAGCUGGGAGGCACCCUUCUAGCUGUGUCACAGGAAGAUCUGCACAGACAAUUGAAACAACCUGAAUGUAAGAUUUAUGGAGGUCAUGUGUCCUGAGUAUCCACAUUAAGAUACAAACAAGCAAUGAAGCCAGCUGGACUACUUCUGUAAGGGAAAUUCCCUCUUCAACCAUGUGAUCAGGUAUGGUUCCUAUAGGAAAGGCAGGAUAAAUGUUGAUUUCUCUUUAUGACCAGUUUUCGAGUUAUUAAGUUGGCUACCUACAACUCUCCAAAUGUGAUCAAUUAAAAAAAUCAUUAUGAAGUCAUGGGUUUAAAUAUAUUUGAUGUAUUUUAAUUUAUUGCAGCCCAUUGCAAUUGUUAUUCUUAUGAAUGCUUGAAUUGUCCCAUCUUUGGCAAGUGGGGGUCUCCUCACCUACCUUUUAUUUACUUAUUUUAAGAUUUUAUUUAUUUAUUUGAUGGAGAGAGAGAUCACA